rnacentral:tRNA from 1 species
AGCUGCUGAAGGAGGCUUCGUACUUUGCCGGCACCUCGGGUGAGCCGGAGCGGGCGAUCGCGUACGCGCGCUCGGCCGUGCAGGAGCUGC